rnacentral:rRNA from 1 species
CUCCUACGGAGGCAGCAGUGGGGAAUUGGUUCGCAAUGGGCGCAAGCCUGACGACGCAACGCCGCGUGGAGGAUGAAGAAUUUCGGUUCGUAAACUCCUUUCGACCGAGAUGAAUACCCUUCGGCUUAAUACGCUGAAGGGCUGACAGUAUCGAGGGAAGAAGCCCCGGCUAACUCCGUGCCAGCAGCCGCGGUAAUUC